UACGUAGGGGGCGAGCGUUGUCCGGAUUUAUUGGGCGUAAAGGGCGCGUAGGCGGCCUUCUAAGUCGAACGUGAAAUCCCCGGGCUCAACCCGGGAACUGCGUCCGAUACUGGGAGGCUUGAAUCCGGGAGAGGGAUGUGGAAUUCCAGGUGUAGCGGUGAAAUGCGUAGAUAUCUGGAGGAACACCGGUGGCGAAGGCGGCAUCCUGGACCGGUAUUGACGCUGAGGCGCGAAAGCUAGGGGAGCAAACGGG
rnacentral:rRNA from 1 species